UGUUGACUUGUUUAUUUUCUGUUUCCUGCAGUAGACUCACCCCAGCAAUGAAGGCAGCAGUCUUCCUGUCUUGUUCCCUGCCUUGUACCCAAAGCAUUGCAUAGCCCUUGGCACACAGUUGGUACUCAAUAAAUGCUUAUUGGCUUAAGAAUGAAUGGAAUUGGCAGCGUUGGGUUUUCAUCUCUGAUCUCCUAGGACUCUCUCGGAUGGGAAGCCUGGCUGUCUUGCCUGCUCCCCACACCCUGUCAGGAGCAAGCCCUGUGGGAUUUACUGCGCGUCUCUUGAGGCUAGGUGUUGUGCUGGGCUCUGAGGACACAUCUGGAAGUAAAUCAGUCAUAACUUCUACCCUCACAGGACCCACAUGUUAGAGGGCCAGCAUACAUAGAAGAAAGCAAGGAGAAAAAAAUAAUCACACACCCUAAAAUGUGCACAGAGGGAAAGAAUGGGGUGACAUCCGGUGGUUUUGGAGCUGACUUCUCUCAGCUCACGAGAGACAACUGUUAAAAACUCAGGAGUUUCGUGAGCUGGGGGUUAAAUGCAGGCAUUAUGAAAAAUUAACUUGGGCAAA